rnacentral:rRNA from 1 species
CAGCAGCCGCGGGAAUACAGAGGGUGCGAGCGUUAAUCGGAUUUACUGGGCGUAAAGCGUGCGUAGGCGGCUUCUUAAGUCGGAUGUGAAAUCCCUGAGCUUAACUUAGGAAUUGCAUUCGAUACUGGGAAGCUAGAGUAUGGGAGAGGAUGGUAGAAUUCCAGGUGUAGCGGUGAAAUGCGUAGAGAUCUGGAGGAAUACCGAUGGCGAAGGCAGCCAUCUGGCCUAAUACUGACGCUGAGGUACGAAAGCGUGGGGAGCAAACAGGAUUAGAUACCCCCGUAGUCCCUGUCUCUUAUAC